GUGGGAGGGGGCUUGCCCCCGAUUGCAGUGUGUCAGUCAGCCUGUCGGGUACUGAUAUACCGCUAUCGGGGGCAAGCCCCCUCCCAC
rnacentral:misc_RNA from 1 species